UACGUAGGGACCGAGCGUUGUCCGGAAUCAUUGGGCGUAAAGAGCGUGUAGGCGGCCACUUAAGUCCUGCGUGAAAUCUUGCGGCUCAACCGCAAGCGGUCGUGGGAAACUGGGUGGCUAGAGUGCGGGAGAGGAGAGUGGAAUUCCUGGUGUAGCGGUGAAAUGCGUAGAUAUCGGGAGGAACACCUGUGGCGAAAGCGGCUCACUGGACCACAACUGACGCUGAGGCGCGAAAGCUAGGGGAGCAAACAGG
rnacentral:rRNA from 1 species